UCAAAGGGGAAAAGGGCUAAUCCAUACAGUGAGAUUUCCGAGAAGGCAGCAGGGGUGGGGCAGGGAGGCCCAGAGCGCAGGUGGAGAGUGAGCCUGGUGUGGAGUUAGCCACUUCUCCCCAGAGGAAGGCAAGGAUGUGGAGGGUGAAAGCGGGCUCGCAGACACGAAUAUGACCAACGUGAUGCAGUGUGACUCUCAGGAUUAUGUAGUUAUAUAAGACUUGGUCUGUUUGAAAGAUUUGAAGAAGCCAGCUACCCUGAGGUCUACAUCUUUCCACAGCCUUGGUGUUGGAACCUAAUCCUCAACGUGGUGGUAGGUUUACCACCUGAAGCAGAGAACAGCCCUCACCAGAUACUGAACCAGCUGGUGCCUUAACAUUGGACUUCCAGCCUCCAGAACUGUGAGAUAGACAAGUAAAAUAGUAAAAACUGGAAUGGUUUCAGAAACACUAGAACAUAUGGUACCCAUCCUAGCAAAAUUCAUUGCCAACGCAGAAACCAAAAAUAAUUGGAAUUUUUGGUGAGGUGAAUUUGGAGACACUGCCAAAAAAUGGACUCUUCCCAUCUCUAUGCCUUCUGCUUGCGGUCUCUGGCCAAAUGCUGUCCAUGGAUGAAAAACAAGGUUUCCCAGGAGGUUGCUAAAGUAGACGGCAUCAUGCAGUAGGACGGCCUUGCCCUGCUGAGGAGAAAUGACAAGGCACAUAUGGUGCUCAUUCCUGCAAACGUCAACUCCUUAUUUCAAAACCAAAAAAUGAAAUAAAAUGCUUUUCAAACAUUUAUGCACAGAUCAAUCGAGAAUGUGGUUCCAAGGAUGUGAGUAGGAUGCCGUGAAGCGGUUGUCAGAGUGUCCUGCAUAUCCCCUUGAUAUCUGGACUUCUUCUAGCUGGUGGUGCAGCCAGGGAACUGACUCACGAUCACUGCAGGGCAGCAUGCCUUUCAGCUCACACCAGGAAGACUCUGCAGAUUGAGUAACUUUCUUCCAAGGGGCUGUUAAACUUUAGAUCCUUCGUGACUCACAGAGUGAAGUCUCACAAUAACCAAAGUUUAGACAACAAAAUAUCCUCAAGAGCACUUAUGAUUUUUACAAAAUAUGCAGCCUCUUUGCCUUUACCUUUAAGUGGCCAUUGGCUGUAUUAGUCAGAACAGGCUAGGUUAUGCUGCAGAACAAACAGGACCUGGAAUCCUUCAACAAAGGUAUAAUUUUUGCUCAUGAUAUUUCUCCAGCACAGGUGAGCAGGUAUUGGGGAGUAGUCUGCUCCACAUAGCCACUCAGGAACCCAGGCUAAAUGAGGCUUUGUUGUCUGUAAUGUGGCCAGUGGCCUAGGCAACAGAAGAGCCUGCACAGACAGCUCACAUCUAUAGUUCAGACCAACAGGGCCACAUAUUACUUCUUGUAGUCCAUUGGCCAGGACUACUCAAAUGACCCCAUUUAAUGGCAGGGAGGUUUGACAUGUAGUCUUUCAUGUGCCUGGUGGAGAGAAGCACUAGUAAUAUCUAUUAGAUUUUAGUAUUUCAUCCACUUACUUGAGCCUGUACUAAAUUCUAGACCUUGUGGUGGAUAUAGAUGCAUAUAAAGUACAUUAAUUGCCCUCAAAAUCUGAAGACACUAUAUCUCAGGAUGGAAAAAGUGAGGUUUGAGACUUUGACCACCCAUACUCAAGCAAUUACAUCAUUUGGAAUAUCUCUCUCCCAAAAGAUGGAGAAUGAUUGCCCAGAGGAAUGAUUGCCCAGAGGAAGACAGACUGGACAAUCCCUGACGCGCAAAUCCAGAAAUUUCAUAUGACCCCUACCAUCAAAGGGCUCAGCAAGCACCCUCUUACUAUACCUGCCAGAGCGCAACUACUGUGCCCUGGCAAUCAAAGCGGGGUGGGUGAUGCAGUGUUCAGAGAAGGAUGAGAAAAAGAGGACUAUGUGAAAAGCAAGAAUAUUCUGAUUGAUGACAUAUUUUAGGCUCUGAGGCAGGACUGGAUCUGCUGUCUGUCAGGCCUCAGAGCCCAAGCUAAGCCAUCAUAUCUCCUGUGACCUGCACAUAUACAUCCAGAUGGCCUGAAGUAACUGAAGAAUCACAAAAGAAGUGAAAGUGGCCCGUUUCUGCCUUAACUGAUGACAUUACCUUGUGAAAUUCCUUCUCCUGGCUCAUCCUGGCUCAAAAGCUCCCCCACUGAGCUUGUGACCCCCAUCACUGCCAGCCAGAGAACAACCCCUUUUGACUGUAAUUUUCCUUUACCUAUCCAAAUCCUAUAAAACGGCCCCACCCCUAUCUCCCUUUGCUGACUCUCUUUUCGGACUCAGCCCGCCUGCACCCAGGUGAAAUAAACAGCCUUGUUG
rnacentral:lncRNA from 1 species